rnacentral:tRNA from 1 species
UCCCUGGUGGUCCAGUGGUUAAUAAUCUGCACUCCCAAUGCAGGGACACAGAUUCAAUCUCUGGUUAGGGAA